CGCACCAAACCACUCCAGGCUGGGCAACAGAGCAAGACUCCAUCUCAAACAAAACAAAACGAGAUGAGAGAAAAACCUCAACCUGUACACCUCUUUAUGACAGAACAACACAGAAAGAGAAAGACAAAGAAAAGACUACUCUAGGAGGAAAUGGAUGAAACAAUAUGAUUCUUACCACAAAGUACCAGAAAGUACACCAUAGUCAAUACACCAGCACUGGUCACACAAAUCCUUUUCUCCCAUCAGUCAAAAUUUUGGACAGGAAAAAUGAACAGAGUGAUAUUUACUGUCUACUUGACCAAAUUCCACAGAGAGGGGCCUGGAAUCUGACUGGCAUCCUCAUUAUCUUUUCAAUACAGAUUGAAUUAUUGGGGAUUCAGACAGCAGAGGAAAAAAGUCAAAGCAUAUAAGGUGAGUAAGAAUUGUCACUUCCUGACAGGACCAGGAACAUCAGGAUAUUUGGAGAAUCUUAACAAAAGGAGAAUUCAUCCAAAUCUCUAGGUAUUGCAGGCAAAGUAUGAUAGCAAGAUCCUGGUUUGGUUUCCUAGCAUCUGGACGCUUUUAAAAGUCUAAUUUGAGAUUCCUUAUGAAAAUGUCCAGGUAAGUCAACUUAAAGAGAGCCUACACUGCAGCAUAAGUUCCUAGUUAUCAUUGCUAAAGUAAAGUUAUCAUUGCUGAGAGUACCAUAUCAUCCUCUGGAGAAACUGAACCUCUAUAGAGUUAGUUCUACUUAUAGUGCAAAACAGUGCUUCAAGUUAGAGUCAGCAUAUUUACUGAUUCUAUGCAGUAACCAGUGUUAUCUAUGUUUCUCCAGACUUGUCAAAUUAUACCUUUUUCUUUAAUCAGGGUGGGCUCAUAGUUGUCACAAUUUGUGUACUAGGGGUGAGAGAAACUGUGGUUCUUCUCUCUAAAGAGCUCGAAUUUUGUCUGACCUCGUUUUCUUUUUUUUUCUUUUUUUUU
rnacentral:lncRNA from 1 species